rnacentral:rRNA from 1 species
AUUGAACGCUGGCGGCAUGCCUAACACAUGCAAGUCGAACGGCAGCACGGGAGCUUGCUCCUGGUGGCGAGUGGCGGACGGGUGAGUAAUGCAUAGGAAUCUGCCCAGUAGCGGGGGACAACUUGGGGAAACUCAAGCUAAUACCGCAUGCGCCCUACGGGGGAAAGCGGGGGACCUUCGGGCCUCGCACUAUUGGAUGAGCCUAUGUCAGAUUAGCUUGUUGGUGGGGUAACGGCCUACCAAGGCGACGAUCUGUAGCUGGUCUGAGAGGACGAUCAGCCACACUGGGACUGAGACACGGCCCAGACUCCUACGGGAGGCAGCAGUGGGGAAUAUUGCACAAUGGGUGAGAGCCUGAACCAGCCAUGCCGCGUGCAGGAAGACGGCCUUCUGGGUUGUAAACUGCUUUUAUCUGGGGAUAAAAAGAACCGUGCGCGGUUAAUUGAAGGUACCAGAUGAAUAAGCACCGGCUAACUACGUGCCAG